rnacentral:rRNA from 1 species
AGCAGCCGCGGUAAUUCCAGCUCCAAUAGCGUAUAUUAAAGUUGUUGCAGUUAAAAAGCUCGUAGUUGAAUUUCGGGGUCAGUAGGUUGGUCAUGCCACUGGUAUGUACUGAUCUUACUGAUUCCUCCUUCCUGAUGAACCGUAAUGCCAUUAAUUUGGUGUUGCGGGGAGACUGGACUGUUACUUUGAAAAAAUUAGAGUGUUUAAAGCAGGCUAACGCUUGAAUACAUUAGCAUGGAAUAAUGAAAUAGGACGUUCGAUCCUAUUUUGUUGGUUUCUAGGAUUGACGUAAUGAUUAAUAGGGAUAGUUGGGGGCAUUAGUAUUCAAUUGUCAGAGGUGAAAUUCUUGGAUUUAUUGAAGACUAACUACUGCGAAAGCAUUUGCCAAGGAUGUUUUCAUUAAUCAAGAACGAAAGUUAGGGGAUCGAAGACGAUCAGAUACCGUCGUAGUCUUAACCAUAAACUAUGCCGACUAGGGAUCGGAUGAUGUUAAUUUUUUA